UAGCGGAACUCCUACGGGAGGCAGCAGUAGGGAAUCUUCGGCAAUGGACGAAAGUCUGACCGAGCAACGCCGCGUGAGUGAAGAAGGUUUUCGGAUCGUAAAACUCUGUUGGUAGAGAAGAACGUUGGUGAGAGUGGAAAGCUCAUCAAGUGACGGUAACUACCCAGAAAGGGACGGCUAACUACGUGCCAGCAGCCGCGGUAAUACGUAGGUCCCGAGCGUUGUCCGGAUUUAUUGGGCGUAAAGCGAGCGCAGGUGGUUUAUUAAGUCUGGUGUAAAAGGCAGUGGCUCAACCAUUGUAUGCAUUGGAAACUGGUAGACUUGAGUGCAGGAGAGGAGAGUGGAAUUCCAUGUGUAGCGGUGAAAUGCGUAGAUAUAUGGAGGAACACCGGUGGCGAAAGCGGCUCUCUGGCCUGUAACUGACACUGAGGCUCGAAAGCGUGGGGAGCAAACAGGAUUAGAAACCCUAGUAGUCCACUUAUG
rnacentral:rRNA from 1 species